rnacentral:ribozyme from 1 species
GGGGUGCACAAUAGCUUACCUCCACGUGGUGCACCCUGGGCAAUGUAUACUUAUACAGCAAAAAGGUCUAU